rnacentral:rRNA from 1 species
UCCAGAGGGUGCAAGCGUUGCUCGGAUUUACUGGGCGUAAAGCGUACGCAGACGGCAAGGAAGGUCGGACGUGAAAGCCCCGGGCUCAACCCGGGAAAUGCGUCCGAAACCGCCUUGCUAGAGUAUGAGAGAGGAAAGCGGAAUUCCUGGUGUAGAGGUGAAAUUCGUAGAUAUCAGGAGGAACACCGGCGGCGAAGGCGGCUUUCUGGCUCAUUACUGACGUUCAGGUACGAAAGCGUGGGUAGCAAACAGG